rnacentral:rRNA from 1 species
UACGGAGGGUGCAAACGUUGCUCGGAAUCAUUGGGCGUAAAGCGCACGUAGGCGGACCGCUAAGUCGGAUGUGAAAGCCCUCGGCUUAACCGAGGAAGUGCAUUCGAAACUGACGGUCUUGAGUAUGGAAGAGGGUCGCGGAAUUCCCGGUGUAGAGGUGAAAUUCGUAGAUAUCGGGAGGAACACCAGUGGCGAAGGCGGCGACCCGGGCCAAUACUGACGCUGAGGUGCGAAAGCGUGGGGAGCAAACAGG